rnacentral:lncRNA from 1 species
UCAAGGGCUGCUUCCAGCUCGUAAGCAUCGGAACCGAGCUCGCAAACCCUGCUACUUCCCCGCAUCCAUCUUCUUCUACUGCAACUGGUGGCACAACUGCUGUUCUGUUCCCCAAGCUGGAAACCUUUGCUCUUGUAGAAAUGCCUAACCUUGAAACAUGGUCCUGGAAAACAGACAACGGAACCAGCAUGCUGGCUUUUCCUUCACUCAAAGUUCUGUACCUAGACGGCUGCCCCAAAUUGAGAUGCGUCCCUGAUAUCUCUUGGAGACGGCUCGAGCACAUAUUCGUCCACAAUUGCCCUUCAAUUCUGGAGGUUGGUGGCGUUACUGCUCCGGAAUUAUUGUCUGUAAGAGAUGACAGCUCGGAGGACGUCCCGCCAUGGUUAGAUCAGGUCUGUGUCAAUCCCACGGAUGAGGUAUCAAUCCUUUUCCUCCAUGUCAGGUUGAACCUGCUCAAGAAAAUUUUACAACAGAGAGAGGCGGAUGUCAACAACCCAGAUGCCGGCUGGAAUGUCGUUAAACGAUUUCCUCGUGCUUGCGUUGUCGCAACAGACAAUGAAGAAAUGUUUUUCACCUACACCCAACAUGAAUCAUUAUUCGAGACCAACGUGCAGCUCGCUUAAGAUGAGGGCAUCUGUUGAGGCAGAGAUAAAGCAGAACGGGCAGUCCAUUGUGAAUAACAGGCAGAUCCCUCGGAUGAGGCAUCGGUACUUCUCCUCAAGGUCAAGUUGAGUCUGCUCAGAAAGGCGGCUUGCAUAUUGUCGGCUACAUCGGUAUUCUCUAAGCUGGUGGAGAAGAUCGCUCCUGUAGUCACUGAGCUACGCCCCCCACCCUCUGUAGGGAUCCCUGGCAUCGUUGUCUACAUCGGACUCGCUCUCCCUCCUUCGACGUUGUCCUCCACGACCACUGCGGUCUCUCAUAUUCAUCACCUGAUUGACUCAUUGUUUACCAAGAGUUUUGAUAAGUCUCAAUUCCUCCCAUGAUUGGGACUGCUUUUUCGUCACAGGAUCGUGGGAAGCAUCGCUCCUGAGCAGGUAUUGGGCCCAUCUCUUUCUACACGCCAUUCCUCGUCCUUCCCCUCUUCUUCUUAUUCCACUUUAACCCGUGGUUAUAUAUGACCGCUCUGUGUCCUAAUUUGUAACCUUUCUCUCUCAUAAAUAUGCCAAACCUGGAGACGUGUGGCACUGGAACGCAGUACUAUAGCAACUGCGGAGGUUCUCCCCGUCUCCGAGAUGUACCCUAGAGAGGAGUCUAGUCACCUAUUGGGACGCCUGCGACAAUGGAGACAUGGCUCAAGAGAACUGCGUCCGAAGCUCCCUUCGCGAGAUUAAGCUUCGCCAGGAAACCGUCCGUCAGGCCUGUCCAAGGAUCCACGCCGAAGAUGGAGGGACAGAGAUCCCACACAACCGACGCUUUCGUCUCUUUCCCCGUAGACGCCUCCGUUACCGUGGUUCUCGAGUCAGUCAAGAUUUUGUGAUCCGCUACUCGCCUAAUGGCAAGGAUUCCAUUAAUGACGUCGUCGAGCCCGCACGUCAAAUCAGCCGAUUCCUUUCCGCAUGUGAAAAUGAAUUGGCAACUACUCCACGUCUGGCAUCAGUCCGCAAAAAGCGGAUAGAUCUCGUCGUCAUUGCGUUUCUAACACGUAAAUUAACUCCCGAAUGUGGCCAGAGUCGUUUCCCGAGGUUGACCUUCUUUACAUCCUUAGACCAUCUCAAAGCUGGCUCUCCGAAAGCAGAGCAUGUCCUAAAUGUUGCCAGAGCCAACGUAUCAGUCAACGUCAAUCCUUUGAACUGAGACCCAUGAGAGAGUGAGCGGGUCCUCCCUUGAACGUUCGGACGGUGUCACAAUUUCAUGACAGCUCAAGAGCGGUAUUUUAUUUUGAUACGUUCGAAAUCGAUCUCCCAAGUUUCUGUGGGCGUCCAACGCGCCCAAAGAUGUUGACCAAUGCAGAAACCUUCACUCGCUUUCGACGAAUCAGAACAAUUCGAGUAGGUCUCUUCAUCCCCUACCUUCGCAGCUUCGAGCUGGAACCCUGUUCGACGCGCAUCUCUCCGUCUCUCUCUCUCUCUAUCUAAAUUGCUAUCCUCCCUCUGUAACCCUUUUCUUUCUUCAGCACUCGCCACCAAAUCUGAUCCCGCGAUUAGAUUAGGAUAUGGCAGCGCCGCUGCUUUCGCUCGUCUCUUUAUUCCUAGAGAAGCUUAGCAAUUUGAAACGCGAGGAAGUGACGUUGAGCAGCUUACGGUCCGCACUGGAGAAGCUCGAGGAGAAGAUCAAGGAGAUCAGACACUUCGUCCCCGACGCAGAGACCCAGGCCUUCACCAGCGAGUACGCCCGCCUCUUGCUGAAUGUGCUGAAAGACGCGGUGUACGACGCAGAUGACAUCCUCGACGACUACGCGACCGCCGGGGAAAUGGUGUCGGUACAGCCGGAAACGUCCUCCUCGAACAACGUGGUGCGCCCUCGUUUUUCCUCUUCAUUACCUGUCAGAAGUCAUACUGAAUUUGAACAUAAAAUGGAGAUGAGGAUAAAGAGCAUAAUCUCAAGGUUGGAGAAGAUCUCCAAAGAGAAGGCCGAGCUGCGCUUGACGCCCACCGAUGAUGAUUUCUCAGCGAUAGGCAACAACUUUCAGACAUCAUCUCUAGUCGAUCCAGAUAUUACUUCGUCUGCACUUGAAUUAAAAUUAAAAAAAUUACUGAGUCAGCUUGUGGGGGAUGAGAACGAGGGCAAGCUGAUAGCGAUCACGGGGAUGGGGGGAAUCGGAAAGACUACUCUUGCUAAAGUUAUAUUCAAUGAUGGAUUCAUCGAAGCCAGUUUUCGCAUGAAGAUUUGGAUCUGCGUUUCAAAGUACUUUAACCAUGUCAAGAUUUUGAAAGAAAUCAUAGCGCAUGCAGAUGGGAACCCCCGGGUUAGUGACAGUAAGGAACAGCUGGCCUUGAUCCUAAGCAGCCUCAUUAAAGACAAGAAAAUUUUUCUGGUUCUGGAUGACGUCUGGACGACAGAGGUAUGGAAAGAUCUACUCCAAGGGCCCUUGCAAGGCGCCGCUGCUGGCAGCAGGGUGAUAAUAACGACUCGAUUCGAGUCCGUGGCGAACCAGGUGGGGGCGUCGCUCAUUCACCAUGCCCAAAGAAUGACUGGUUUGGAGGGCUUCCACUUGUUAUACAAGAUGGCGUUCAGAAACGGGGAGCAAGAGCAGUGGGAAGCCCUGCAAGAUGUCGGCAUUAAAAUUGCCGAGCGAUGCAAGGGCGUCCCUUUAGCAAUAAAGACGAUCGGAGGGGUUCUGAGACGCAAGGAUAAGAACGUACGAGAGUGGGAGGAAAUACUCGAAGAUCCGAUAUGGUCUGCAUCCAUCUUCCCAGACGAGGAGGAAAGCAUUAUGAAGCCUUUGUAUUUGUCUUACAGGGAUCUGCCCGCAAGCAUCAAGCAGUGUUUUCUGUACCUCUCGCUGUUCCCCGAGGACUUCGUGUUCGUGCGUCCCAGAGUUGUCUCAUACUGGGUUGCGGAGGGUUUCCUGAAACCAGAGGGCACUUUGACCAUGGAAGACGUAGGAACGAGGUAUUUCGAUGAGCUGACCAGUAGAGGUCUUCUGCAACCACAGCUCUCAGCGAUAGAGGGGGCUCUGUGCAAGAUGCACGACAUUGUGCGUUCUCUCUGUCAGUAUCUAGCGGAAGGCGAAUGCCUCUUCGGCGAGAUGCCGAGACCGCAAGGCAGGUCCGGAAAGCUCCGCCGGCUGUCAAUGGUGGACUGUGAUUUUGCCAUAGACAUCCAUCUUUUGAAAAGAGAACAACGCCUGAGGACACUCCUUAUUCGUAGCAACCCAUGCGGAGGGGUAGUUCUGAAACAGGAUGUUGUUGAAGCUCUUACCUAUCUGAGAGUUUUAGAUGUCAGUGAUACGCCCAUUGAGGAACUGCCGCACUUCAUCACGAGGCUUCGACACCUGAGGUACCUCAACGUCUCUGGGACUCCCAUUGGGGCGUUGCCAGAGUCGAUAGGCGACAUGAAAAGCCUUCAAUUCCUAUUCUUGAAGAACUGCCGAAACAUCUCGUCUCUUCCAGAUGGCAUAACGAAGUUGAGAAAUCUGAGAUCCCUUCAGGUGAAUGAAGGAACUGACAUCGACCAGUUGCCAAGGGGAAUCGGCAGACUGCAUCAGCUGCAAGGUCUGAAUGAGUUUGUUGUGGACAAGCAGGAGGGAAGUCUGCGAGAUUUGGGGCCUCUUUCAAACUUGAGACUGCUGGUGAUCACCAAAUUGGAGAGAGUCUCAGAAAGAACGCAAGCCAGAAGUGCUUUCCUCGAGAAUAAAACCUCAAUAAACUACAUAAGCUUCGAGUGGUCCUUCCCUCCUGUGGAAACUACGACUGCUGACCGGAUAAUGAACAUGCCUGAUAUAUUUGAUGAGCUAUGCCCCUCACCCUCCCUGCAGAUUCUCAACGUCGAGGGAUACCUUGGUCUCACCCUCCCUCGUUGGAUGUGGCCCUCGUCGUCGUCUGGCGUCUCUCCCAUCCAAAAUCUCACUCAUCUAACAAUGACCAGGUGCAUGAAUUUCUCUCAGAUUCCUCCGCUCGGACUUCUCCCUCAUCUGAAGGUUCUCGGGCUCGAUUAUUGUCCCCAGCUCGUAAGCAUCGGAACCGAGCUCGCAAGCCCAUCUGUUUCUCCACAUCAAUCUUCCUCAACCUCUUCUUCCACUGCAACUGGUGGCCCACCUGCUAUUCUGUUCCCCAAGCUGGAAUCUUUCUCUCUCGUAGAGAUGUCAAACCUUGAAACAUGGUCCUGGAAAACAGACAACAGAACCAGCAUGCUGGCUUUUCCUUCACUCAAAGUUCUGUACCUAGACGGCUGCCCCAAAUUGAGAUGCGUCCCUGAUAUCUCUUGGAGACGGCUCGAGCACAUAUUCGUCUACAAUUGCCCUUCAAUUCUGGAGGUCGGUGGCGUUACUGCUCCGGAAUCAUUGUCUGUAAGAGAUGACAGCUCGGAGGACGUCCCGCCAUGGUUAGAUCAGGUCUGUGUCAAUCCCACGGAUGAGGUGUCAAUCCUUUUCCUCCAUGUCAGGUUGAACCUGCUCAAGAAAAUUUUACAACAGAGAGAGGCGGAUGUCAACAACCCAGAUGCCGGCUGGAAUGUCGUCAAACGAUUCCCUCGCGCUUACGUUGUCGCAAGGGAUGAUGAAACUAUGUUCUUCUCCUACACCAAACACAAAUCACUAUUCCACACCAGCGUGCGGCUCGCCUAAGGUGAGGGCAUCUAUUGGGGCAGCAGUAAAGCAGAAUGGAUAGGACACUGCGAAUGAGAAGCCGUUCCCAUUGAUGAGGCGUCGUUCCUUCUCAAUGCCAGGUUGAGUCUGCACAGGAAGGUGGCUACAUCGGUGUUUGCUACGCUGGUGGAAUAAUGGGGAUCAAAGAAGUGGGCAAGCACCUCCACAUCACCAGCACAUCGGCCCAAGUCCAUUACGCCAUAACUUUCUUCUUUAGCUAUUUCCUUUUCUAAUCAUCCAAGUGGUUAUCAAUAACUUUGUGUUGCCCUAAGGACGAUUAGACAGAGGUGAACGAAGUUUUGAGGUUUACCUCGUAUUGCUCCGCAAGGAGAGGCCGAGGGGGUCAGCUACCCAUCGCCACCGCCGCCACCCCCCGUCACACAGUCACCGCCAUUCGCCGGCUGCCCCUUAUCGCCCGUCGCCGUCACCGCCCGCUGCCACCGAUCCCCCGUCGCCACUGUCGCCGUCACCAUCUGCUGCCAUCCUCUGCCCCGUCACUGUCGCCGCCGUCCGCCAUCACCAUCCGCUGCCGCGGCCAGCAUCCCUACCUCCGCCUCCGGUUAUGCCCCCGGUUCGUAGCAUCAUGAACCGCUGCACUGACCCGGUUCCACCCGGCCAGACCGCCCACAUCUGUCCGGCCCAACCCAGCUCGAACCCCUCGGUCCGAGCAAACUUGCCGCCCGUCCGAGCCACUGUGGAGCAUUUGGUUCGAGUCGGUUCGCCUCGCCGGGUUCGAGCCAUUCGGAUAAUCUGGUCCACGCCAGCCGCCUCAUCUGGUUCAAACCAGUCUCCCUCCCCCCCCCCCUUCCACCCCAAAAGACCAGGUUAGCAGGGUCAACAGUCAACG